rnacentral:rRNA from 1 species
UCCUGACUGACCGAUAGUGAACCAGUACCGUGAGGGAAAGGCGAAAAGAACCCCGGCGAGGGGAGUGAAAAAGAACCUGAAACCGUGUACGUACAAGCAGUGGGAGCACGCUUAGGCGUGUGACUGCGUACCUUUUGUAUAAUGGGUCAGCGACUUAUAUUCUGUAGCAAGGUUAACCGAAUAGGGGAGCCGAAGGGAAACCGAGUCUUAACUGGGCGUUAAGUUGCAGGGUAUAGACCCGAAACCCGGUGAUCUAGCCAUGGGCAGGUUGAAGGUUGGGUAACACUAACUGGAGGACCGAACCGACUAAUGUUGAAAAAUUAGCGGAUGACUUGUGGCUGGGGGUGAAAGGCCAAUCAAACCGGGAGAUAGCUGGUUCUCCCCGAAAGCUAUUUAGGUAGCGCCUCGUGAAUUCAUCUCCGGGGGUAGAGCACUGUUUCGGCAAGGGGGUCAUCCCGACUUACC